AUCCAACUGACGAGUCCCAAAUAGGACUAGACGCACGUUCUGGAU
rfam:Schistosoma mattheei strain Denwood, Zambia genome assembly, scaffold: SMTD_scaffold0010228